CCGAAUUCGUCGACAACAGAGUUUGAUCCUGGCUCAGGACGAACGCUGGCGGCGUGCUUAACACAUGCAAGUCGAACGAUGAUGCCCAGCUUGCUGGGCGGAUUAGUGGCGAACGGGUGAGUAAUACGUGAGUAACCUGCCCUUGACUCUGGGAUAAGCCUGGGAAACUGGGUCUAAUACUGGAUACUACCUCUUACCGCAUGGUGGGUGGUGGAAAGGGUUUUACUGGUUUUGGAUGGGCUCACGGCCUAUCAGCUUGUUGGUGGGGUAAUGGCUCACCAAGGCGACGACGGGUAGCCGGCCUGAGAGGGUGACCGGCCACACUGGGACUGAGACACGGCCCAGACUCCUACGGGAGGCAGCAGUGGGGAAUAUUGCACAAUGGGCGGAAGCCUGAUGCAGCGACGCCGCGUGAGGGAUGACGGCCUUCGGGUUGUAAACCUCUUUCAGUAGGGAAGAAGCGAGAGUGACGGUACCUGCAGAAGAAGCGCCGGCUAACUACGUGCCAGCAGCCGCGGUAAUACGUAGGGCGCAAGCGUUGUCCGGAAUUAUUGGGCGUAAAUAGCUCGUAGGCGGUUUGUCGCGUCUGCUGUGAAAGCCCGGG
rnacentral:rRNA from 1 species